UCUACUCCAGCAACUACUGGAAUUGAUGCUGAAAUAAGUGACCUGCGCAAAAUUGAGGAUGGGUCUGUGAUAUCUAAUAUACACACAUCCAAAUGGAGAGUCUUUACAGACAGUGGAAGGGAUUUAUUUCUACAGGCAUGCAGGCCUCCUAUGUUAUCACUGAUACUUUGUAUUUUUCUUUACAAUUCAAUUUGGUGGUCAUACUCUCUGAACUUGCAGUAGUAAUUCUAUUCAACCAGGGAAAACUUGAGGAAGCUGAAAAACUGUUCCUCUCUGCACUGCAAGAAGCUAAGGAGGGUUUUGGAG
rnacentral:lncRNA from 1 species